AUGCUCACGUGGGCAGCACAAACAACAAAAUUGGAACAAUGCAAAGAUUAGCGUGGCCCCUGCGCAAGGAAGCCACUCAUUCAUGCAAUGGUUCAUAGUUUU